rnacentral:rRNA from 1 species
AUUGAACGCUGGCGGCAUGCUUUACACAUGCAAGUCGAACGGCAGCGCGGGCUUCGGCCUGGCGGCGAGUGGCGAACGGGUGAGUAAUGCAUCGGAACGUGCCCAGUCGUGGGGGAUAGCCCGGCGAAAGCCGGCUUAAUACCGCAUACGACCUGAGGUUGAAAGCGGGGGUCCGAAAGGCCUCGCGCUAUUGGAGCGGCCGAUGUCGGAUUAGCUAGUUGGUGGGGUAAAGGCUUACCAAGGCGACGAUCCGUAGCUGGUCUGAGAGGACGACCAGCCACACUGGGACUGAGACACGGCCCAGACUCCUACGGGAGGCAGCAGUGGGGAAUUUUGGACAAUGGGGGCAACCCUGAUCCAGCCAUGCCGCGUGCGGGAAGAAGGCCUUCGGGUUGUAAACCGCUUUUGUUCGGGAAGAAAUCCUCUGGGCUAAUACCCCGGGGGGAUGACGGUACCGGAAGAAUAAGCACCGGCUAACUACGUG